CCAACCAAUGCUGGAGCUGCUUUUUGCCUAACAGGAGAAAAUUACAAACCCAGAGAAAGGAGAAGGAUCAUCUGUCCUAUCAGUUUCCCUGCAUAACUCCUGCAAGUCGCUUCUGACAAUGCAAUGCAGAAUGGAAAAGGGAGCACAGAAGUGGCCUGCCCAUUGCAAUAGGGAAACAAAAUUAGAACUUUUGCUCCCAUCUCUCAGAUGACUCCUGAAAAUACUUUGUAUGAUUUCCAGACUCUACUUUAAGCAAGCAGAUACCUGGAGAAUGACAGAGGACACCGAAGCAACAAAAAUGAUAAAUGUCAAGUAAAAAACCUAAAGAAGGUGUGAGUGAUUUUCCAUGCAGGCCAAAUAGGAUGGCAUUGGAAGUCCUAAAUUUUAGAAACACACCUCUACUGUAAAAUAGAUAUUGAAAUAAUUAUAGAAUAAUCUGUAUUAUAUGACAUGUUAACACUUUUAAAGGUUGGGGUUUUUUUAUUCUUGGUGGUGUGCAUUCCUGUUGGAUUGCUUCAGAAGUGCAAAAUAUAUUUAUUUAGCCAGAAAGACUCCUGAUAAUUGUUCAAUGGCUCUUGCUGUGCUGGAGAGAUUUUGAAUUUUUAUUGUUGCUCUGAAUGCAAGGCACUUCUGAUUCAUUUAACAUUGUUUGGACAUCUGUGAAGAGAAAUAAAGUGGCACAACAUUGUUUUCCUAUGCUGCUUUUCAAGUGACGUAAUUGCUUCAAAUAUUGUCUGAGAUACCCACUGAGACAAUCAGGAGACUUAAUUUUAAAUGAAGCAAUAUGUAUCCCAAUACCGAAAGCCAAAUUGUGCACUACAAAGUGAUGGAGGAAGUAUUGGAAUAGAGAUCCCUGCUAAGCACUAUGUUAUGUACUUACUUGCCAGCCAGAGGUUACAUAUUUUGAGAUAACUGCCAAUUUUUAUGUCAGAUAUACUAGACAUUGCCUUAAUUCUGUAAAUUCCCUUUACAAAUAACAGCAGAGAUAUUUGUGUGCCAAUUGAUUGCUCUUUCAAUCUUUCAUAGAAGAUGCACUUGUUAUCAUGAACAACAUGCAGUUAUUCCUUCCGAGACACCAUUUGUAGGUUGAUUGCCUCCUUAAUGUCAUGAAGCAGUCUUUUGAUUAAAGAGAGAAAUGAGAAAUUUUAUGCUACUUCCUAAUUUUACACCUCUCAGUGUAAAUGUGUGUCUUAGCCUUACUCUUCAUUCAGAAUAACUGCUAAUUUCCCCAAACACAAGCUUCACCUCUGAGGUUGAUCCCCCGGCCCACUUGUCCAGAGGCAGACCUUGUUUUUUCCUUUAUCCAGGCUGGCCCACAAAAUAUCAGGUCUGUCCUUCACAGCCUUCUUUCUCCCUCAUACAAAUGCUCUUGUCCCAUUUGCCUCACAAAACCAAAACCAAAACCAAAACUGUGUGCUUGGACCAGACUGUAACAGGGUAGUUUGCCUCCUAGCAUCGUGGCAGGAGCUGUUCAGUUCACAAAAUCAUCAGGUCCAAGGCAGAGGUUGGGAUUCCUAUGCCGAGGCAGGAGGAGGGGAGAUGUGCUCGUGUUUCAUGAGUUAGUUUGGGACCUGUGGCAUGGCUUAAAGUGAGCUCUUGUAAGCUUUGUACUGGAAUUAGCAGUGCCCUUGUAAACAAGGAAGUCUCUGACACUCUCAGAAGAAAUUCACUAGCAUAGAUGCAAAGGCUUGCUGAUGAAAUACUGUAAAGCUGAUUUACAUCUUGCAUGUCCUUUACACUUGAGCUUGCCCUGUCACUUAAGGGUCCCCUAGCAAAGUUCAGAGCUUUCUGGGAAGAAAAAGGCUCAGGGCCCAGGAGGGAACUUUGUGAUUUUCAUAGAAAUAAUGGGAGGAAACUAAACCAGAAUCUACAUCUUACCUUCUGGAGUUGUUAUGCAGAGGAAAAAAUCUUGAGGGGCAUUUUUGAUUAUUUCUAAUUUUCAUGAUUCUUGGCAGUUCUAAAACACAAACUAAAGGUUUUGUAUUCACAGCAUGGGAUGGAUGUAUCCAUUUUCCCUAAUAUCCUGUCACCAAGCAGACAAAAGCAGAUGCUUGGAAGAAGUAAAAAAGAAAAGGUCAAAAAUAUAAUGAUGUUUCCUUAGAAUAUUUUUCUGGCCCCAGGGACUCCUUGAGUCUGAGAUGGUGUCUUUGUAAUUAAUAACCCUCAUUUUUUUCUUUUGAUUUUUUUUUUUUAGUCAUCUUUUGAACUCAUGUAGAUGCUUUGCAUUUGAAAAAAACUGUAUUUACCUGCGCAAUGUGAAAAAUCAAUUUCUUUCAUUUUCUCUGAGUCUGCCAUCUGCUACUGCUGUUAACUUGUAGUUCUUGCUUUGCCAGAGACUGUGAGCAGCCAUUCCCAAGGUACCUCUCUGUGCAUUUUUUUUAAUGUGGCACUUUUCCCUACUCCUCACUCCCAGCUAAUGUCUACUUAUUAAAGGUCCCAUAUUUUCAAAAAUAGUUCCAGCUUUUGAAUAUUUUUGAUAUAAUAUUUUUAAUAGUACAGUUUUGAAUAUGCCUGUCACACUGCUCGUGAUCUUUCCCAGUUAUAUUCUGCAUUUUCUGAGAUUGGGGGAAGAUAACUGCCCACGACAGUUCAAGAUGUGACUGAACCAUGGAUUUAUGCAGCUGGGUAAUGAGAUUCUCUGCUUGUUUCAAAGGCUGUUCUAUCUUAAAACUGAUUAUCCAGUGUAGCCCUGCAGCUCCUGUGUGCAUAUUGUUUGGAGACCUGUAAUUAUGUGAGAGUCUCAGCUUGCAUUUAUGAAUUGCAUAAACAAGUUUCUGUUUUCUGUGACUAGAGAAAAAUUCUGCAGGAAGUAAAAUCUGUAACUUUGAAAUCGGGACCUAAGAGAAAAAUAAAGGUGCAUUAUUUGGGAAGGAGGGAUUA